GGCGAUUCAGAUUACGGCCCUAGUUCUGACGGUAAACGAUGCCAACUAGCGAUCCGCCGGCGGAUUCAUUCGGCCCUGGUGGGGGAGCUUCCCGGAAACGAAAGUCUUCCGGGUUCCGGGGGAAGUAUGGUUGCAAAGCUGAAACUUAAAGGAAUUGACGGAAGGGCACCACCAGGAGUGGAGCCUGCGGCUUAAUUUGACUCAACACGGGGAAACUCACCCGGCCCGGACACCGUAAGGAUUGACAGAUUGAUAGCUUUUUCAUGAUUCGGUGGAUGGUGGUGCAUGGCCGUUCUUAGUUCGUGGAGCGAUUUGUCUGGUUUAUUCCGAUAACGAGCGAGACUCUGGCCUACUAAAUAGUUGGCACAUUGCCACUGUGUGCCCAACUUCUUAGAGGGAUUUUCGGUGUUCAGCCGCACGAAAUUGAGCAAUAACAGGUCUGUGAUGCCCUUAGAUGUCCGGGGCUGCACGCGCGCUACACUGGCAAAAUCAGCGUGCUUGUCCUCCCCCGAAAGGGGUUGGUAAACCGAUGAAAAUUUGCCGUGAUUGGGAUCGGACAUUGCAAUUAUUGUCCGUGAACGAGGAAUCCCUUGUAAGGGCGAGUCAUCAACUCGUCCUGAAUACGUCCCUGCCCUUGUA
rnacentral:rRNA from 1 species